UACGUAGGGUGCGAGCGUUAAUCGGAUUUACUGGGCGUAAAGCGUGCGCAGGCGGCCCGUUAAGACAGGUGUGAAAUCCCUGGGCUCAACCUAGGAAUUGCGCUUGAGACUGGCGGGCUCGAGUACGGUAGAGGGGGGUGGAAUUCCUGGUGUAGCAGUGAAAUGCGUAGAGAUCAGGAGGAACACCGAUGGCGAAGGCAGCCCCCUGGGCCGGUACUGACGCUCAUGCACGAAAGCGUGGGGAGCAAACAGG
rnacentral:rRNA from 1 species